CUCUCUCUCUCUCUCUCUCCUAUUUUUUUAGGUAUUAAAAAUUAUACGUUUCCACAGCCACUGACGUGACAGCUCAACUGCAGUGCCUGCGGACAUAAGGGCUUUGAUAGAAUACCGCUGCUCCAGCCAAGGCCCGCGGUCGACGGCGCCAUCAUGUGAACGUUUAUAGCCUAUUAUUACGUAUUAAAAAAAUUAUAAAGAACAAGAUCUCGGCUGUCAGGAAUUUUUUUGUUUUAGUUAAAAGGCAUAACAAUCUCUCCUAAUAAGUGCAACAUAUUUUUAAAUGUAUCAUAGUUUGAUAAACAGCUUAGAGUUGCUCUUGACUAAAUUUGAACGAAACUAAAAGCUCGUGUCAAAAUGUAACGACAGAGCCUAAAGAAAAAAUAUUUAUUAAGCGUUAGCGACGGACACUUUUGAUAAAUAUCUAUCUUAAAAUUAUGUAGAGUGCACCUGUGACCACCGAUCACCACAACAGUACGAUUUCGAUAGGAUAUAAUAAUUUUCAUGUCGCGUGGAGGGGUUGCCAGAUGUCGCUUUCUGAAUGAAACUUACUGGACAGUGUGUCACUACGCUCUAUAGCCGACUGUACAUAGCAUAUUAGUAUCCUCACUCAUUCAUCUUCCACAGAUUUAAGAACCAGCAUCAGUAAGUACUUGAUAGUGACCAUUUCAAUGUGUUUUAACCCGGCAGCAGCGGGGAUCAUGUUUCUUAAUGGUCCCUCUUAAGCGAGAAAAAUUAGAAAAAAUCAUCACUCACACAAACUAUUUCAUAAUAUAUAUCAAAGCAUUUGUGAUCAGUUUAUGUAUCAUCUAUUUUGGGGGGUUAAAAUCAUGGCACAAAUUUGGCCUGUCGCUGCUACACGGUAAAGCCACAAAUUUGGCCCGUCGCUGCUACACGGUGCAGCCACAAAUUUGGCCUGUCACUGCUAUACGGUACAGCCACAAAUUUGGCCUGUCGCUGCUACACGGUACAGCCACAAAUUUGGCCUGUCACUGCUAUACGGUACAGCCACAAAUUUGGCCCGUCGCUGCUACACGGUACAGCCACAAAUUUGGCCUGUCACUGCUAUACGGUACAGCCACAAAUUUGGCCCAUCGCUGCUACCGGGUUAAACAAAGAACAUUCAAAGGGACAGAGCUCUAAAGUUCAUCCUCCAGAGUAUUGGAGUUGUAUCCUCUCCAGUCACUCCUUUUGACCUCCUAUGGAUCACAUACAAAUGUAAUUUUAGUUUUAAUGUCUGAAGUCUCACAGUGGUAGGAAACACUUGUGUCGGGCAACAAAAUUGUCUCCAGAAUCUUGUGAUUUCAGGGAAUAUCAAUGACAUUUUGCUUGAGGUAUUGUUGUUUUAGAUGUGAUUACCAGAAGAGGCCAAUGGGUAGUGACAAAUAUCAGUCUUUACAUUGCCAAGGAAAAACUUCUCAAGUAAUAUAAAGGAAUUGCUGGAAUGAGUGAGCCUUCAGUUAAAGUUCAAUUGAAAUGUGGGAAGACCACAGCAAAGAAAGAAGCUAAGUAAGACUUUGUUAACUUUCUCAUGCACUGUAAAUUCUUGAAAGUGGAAGCUUGUUGCCAUAGUCCAACCAUUUCAAAUAGUCUGAUUGCGCGUUCAAUUCUGCGGGUCCUUUCCUCCCCUCUGAUCUGCCACACAGUCCCAACACCUGUCCCUUCCUCUCAUACCUAUAGGCAACAUAUGAGAGGGAAAAAUAGGUGUUGGAACUGUGUGGCAGAGCAAAGAGGAGAAAAGGACCCACGGAAUCAAAUGCCCAAACGAACUACAGUCACCUCUCGAUUAACGUGAGGGUUAUGUUCCUGGAGAUGUUGUGUUAUUUAAAAUCGCGUUAUUUAAACAUAAUUUCCCCAUAAGAAACGAUGAUAAUGGGGGGGUUAUGUUCCUGGAGAUGUUGUGUUAUUUAAAAUCGCGUUAUUUAAACAUAAUUUCCCCAUAAGAAACAAUGGUAAUGGGGGAGUUAGGUUCCUGGACACUGUGAAAGUCUGCCUAUUUUGGGGAGUUUUGUUGCUCUAACCAUCGCUUUGUUGAUGUGUCACUGGUCGUCCUUCCACCUCCUGAAGGACGCUUGGGUGCCACAGUAGAGGUCAAAAUGCAGUGUACGUAUUCCAGAAAAACGUUCCGCUCACAGUGCCGGCUAGCUUCAGACUGAGACAGCGUUUCCGUGCGGUGACGUCAUCGAUGAAACUCAUGUUAAAUCGAACACAUCGCGUUAGUUAAACGUAUCUCGUUAAAUAUCAACUUGUGUUAAAUCAAAAACGCGUUAUUUAAACUCAUGUUAAUCGAGAGGUGACUGUAUUUGAAAUGGUUGGACUAUAGUGCCUGUUGACCAACAUAGGAACUGGAAGAAAAUUACUUUGUUUGUGAUUUUACAGUACAGUAGGGUAUGCUACAGUGUACAGAAUUGGUUCUAGAAUGUCAUUCAUAAAAGGAUUUAAUUUGU